rnacentral:pre_miRNA from 1 species
CUUGUACUCCCUCCGUCCGAAAAUACUUGUCAUUGAAAUGGAUGUAUCUAGAUGUAUUUUAAUUCUAGACACAUCCAUUUUGAUGACAAGUAAUUCCGGACGGAGGGAGUACUUG